GCAGCUCGCACUGGAGUGCUUUAAAGCCUGCCUUGCGUCUGUCUCUCUCUCCAGAAAGCCUUUCAUGCCGCCGUGCCAGACUGACAUUUUGACAAGUUGCCACGAGUGACAUCUGAUUUGUACAAAUUUCAAGACUAAUAAAUCUACCUGUCAAAGCGGAAACUUUAAAAGGAGCUAAGCCCAGCGGGUAUAGUUUAACAGAACUCAAGUUGAUGAAACUGUAGGAUGGAGAAAUUAUAUCUGUCACAAUCCACCCACAUUAGUUCUGCAGAAAUGUUGGCAACUGAAACAAACGUCUUUCACGGGUGUUACCGAAAAAAAAAUUAAAAAUAAAAAAAAAUUUUUUUUAAUCCAAAAAGGAGAUUGUUAAUACCCCGAGUAACAAGUAACAGUUCUAUUUGUAAACUAACAAAUUUUAUUUAUUUAAUUUUUAAUUUCAUUGCAGAUGUUAGAAGUGACUCUCCUCCUACCUCCUUAGCUGUCUCGCUGGAAUCCGGACUUUCCAUUCAAGCUGCGGCCCAUCAAUCAUUCUGCGGCUCCUGGCUUGCUCACUCUUAGAGUGAGUCCUAGGCGGUGGUGGCCUCGGCUUGCAGGGUGAGGCAGACUUGCUCCCCCACAGUAUUGCAUCCGGGGGACCCUGAGAGCACCCCAUUCCCCAGGGGCAGAGGCAAAAGGCACUGAAUUAUGUCGCAGCAGCCCCACCUCCCAAUUUUGAGCUGGAGACCCUAGACUGGCCCCCAUUCUGCAUGCUGCUGUGUGAUUUUUGUUUUGAGGUUGUGGACAUUUAUGGAGAAGUUGUGGGUGGAGACAACUAAAGAGAGAGGUACUUAUGAUCCUGGCUGACUUUUUAUUUUUUAUCCUAACUCCCCUUCCUAUCUCCGAUGAGUCCGCUUUUGUCCUGCAUCAUCAUGUCAGAGAUGUUGAAGAAGUCAGAAUUCACAGACCAGAAGAAGAAACUAGGUGAAGGACAAGUGGGCCUCUUCAGGAUUCCCUUAGACUUAGAAAAUCAGUAAAAAGCCUGCAACAAAGCCCCUUGCUGAAUUAGUAUCCCUCCCUACGCCCCCCCCCCCACAACACACACCCCGUCCCCACCCUCAAGGUCAGAGAGGAGGAGAAA
rnacentral:lncRNA from 1 species